rnacentral:lncRNA from 10 species
AGCGUGCGCCCGGUGGGGCCGGCCGGGACUCGCCGCUCGCACGCCCUUGGGCCGCGGCCGGGCGCCCGCUCUUCCUUCCGCUUGCGCUGUGAGCUGAGGCGGUGUAUGUGCGGCAAUAACAUGUCAACCCCGCUGCCCGCCAUCGUGCCCGCCGCCCGGAAGGCCACCGCUGCGGUGAUUUUCCUGCAUGGAUUGGGAGAUACUGGACAGAGUAUUGCCCUGUAGCCCAGGCUGGAAUAUAGUGGCGUGAUCUCGGCUCAGUGUAGUCUCUGCCUCCCCUGGGUUCCAGCGAUUCUUCUGCCUCGGCUUCCCGGGUAGCUGGGAUUACAGGCAUGCCCUGCCAUGCCCUGCCCAGUUUUCAAGUCCUUCACUUAUUUUGUUAAAUUAUUCCUCCAAGUAUUUUAUUCUUUGUAUACUAUGACGAAUGGAAUUGUUGACUUUAUUACAUUUUUAUAUUGUUCAUUGCUAGUGUAUAGAAAUAUACCUUUUUGAUAAGUUUUUUAUAUCCUGGGAUCUUGCUGACCUCAAUAGCUCUUAGGAUGUUUUUGUAGAUUUCAUAGGAUUUUCUGUAUAUAAGAUCAUAAGAUACUCAGCUCACAAGAUCAUGAGAGGGAAUUUUACUGAUUCCUUU